rnacentral:rRNA from 1 species
UACGAAGGGGCUAGCGUUGCUCGGAAUCACUGGGCGUAAAGCGCACGUAGGCGGCUUUCUAAGUCAGGGGUGAAAUCCUGGAGCUCAACUCCAGAACUGCCUUUGAUACUGGGAAGCUCGAGUCCGGAAGAGGUGAGUGGAACUCCGAGUGUAGAGGUGAAAUUCGUAGAUAUUCGGAAGAACACCAGUGGCGAAGGCGGCUCACUGGUCCGGUACUGACGCUGAGGUGCGAAAGCGGUGGGGAGCAAACAGGG